UACGUAGGGGGCAAGCGUUGUCCGGAUUUAUUGGGCGUAAAGAGCGUGUAGGCGGCUUUACAGGUCCGUUGUGAAAACUCGAGGCUCAACCUCGAGACGCCGGUGGAAACCGUAAAGCUAGAGUCCGGAAGAGGAGAGUGGAAUUCCUGGUGUAGCGGUGAAAUGCGCAGAUAUCAGGAGGAACACCGAUGGCGAAGGCAGAUCUCUGGGCCGUAACUGACGCUGAGGAGCGAAAGCAUGGGGAGCGAACAGG
rnacentral:rRNA from 1 species